CUCACAUGUACGCGGAUGACACAGUAAUCUAUGCGAGAAAAUCCAAUCUACUGCAGCUUGAGGUCCAAGACCAGUUUACAGAGGUAGAAAAGUGGAUCGCAAAAAACAAACUCUUCCUGAACACUGACAAAACUGUCACAAUGAUCUUUGGAACAGUACCUAAAUUACACAAAUUACACAAUUCCCACCUAUCAAUCAAAACAAAUUCAAAUGGCACACUGAC